UUUGUUACCCAGUAUCCGGUAACUCCUCAUCCCUUUGCUUUCCCUGGAUAAUCUUUUUAGAUUUCCCCAGCGGAGUUUCUAUUGUGAUUAUCCUUUUGCUGUGUUGGCUUUUUCCCCAAUACAUGCAUUUUCCCCGACAGGGAGGUUUUGUUCAUAUCUUUCCCCAGCCUGAGUCCGGAUUUUUAUCCGAAGUAUCCUUUUGCGGAUAGUUUUGCUGUGUUGGCGUAUUCCCCAAUACACGCAUUUUUGAGUCAGCUUGAGUCUUUCCAAU
rnacentral:lncRNA from 1 species